rnacentral:rRNA from 1 species
AUUGAGCGCUGGCGGAAUGCUUUACACAUGCAAGUCGAGCGGCAGCGCGGCCUUCGGGCUGGCGGCGAGCGGCGAACGGGUGAGUAAUGCAUCGGAACAUGCCCAGUCGUGGGGGAUAACACUUCGAAAGAAGUGCUAAUACCGCAUACGUCCUGAGGGGGAAAGCGGGGGAUCGCAAGACCUCGCGCGAUUGGAGUGGCCGAUGUCAGAUUAGCUAGUUGGCGGGGUAAAGGCCUACCAAGGCGACGAUCUGUAGCUGGUCUGAGAGGAUGAUCAGCCACACUGGGACUGAGACACGGCCCAGACUCCUACGGGAGGCAGCAGUGGGGAAUUUUGGACAAUGGGGGCAACCCUGAUCCAGCCAUUCCGCGUGAGUGAAGAAGGCCUUCGGGUUGUAAAGCUCUUUCGGCAGGAACGAAACGGUGGGCUCUAACAUAGUCCGCUAAUGACGGUACCUGAAGAAGAAGCACCGGCUAACUACGUG